rnacentral:rRNA from 1 species
AUUGAACGCUGGCGGAAUGCUUUACACAUGCAAGUCGAACGGCAGCACGGACUUCGGUCUGGUGGCGAGUGGCGAACGGGUGAGUAAUGUAUCGGAACGUGCCCAGUCGUGGGGGAUAACGUAGUGAAAAUUACGCUAAUACCGCAUACGAUCUAUGGAUGAAAGCGGGGGAUCGCAGGACCUCGCGCGAUUGGAGCGGCCGAUAUCAGAUUAGGUAGUUGGUGGGGUAAAGGCCCACCAAGCCAACGAUCUGUAGCUGGUCUGAGAGGACGACCAGCCAGACUGGAACUGAGACACGGUCCAGACUCCUACGGGAGGCAGCAGUGGGGAAUUUUGGACAAUGGGCGAAAGCCUGAUCCAGCCAUUCCGCGUGCAGGAUGAAGGCCCUCGGGUUGUAAACUGCUUUUGCACAGAACGAAAAGGUUUCUACUAAUACUAGGAGCUCAUGACGGUACUGUAAGAAUAAGCACCGGCUAACUACGUGCCAGCCGCCGCGGUAA